UACCAAUUGAUUUAUGAAUCUGAGAGCUCCUGUGUCAGGUAUCAAGAUUUAUCUGACUUCAUAUCAUCAUGUACCUGGUCCUUCACCUGGCACAGAAGAGGCCCUCAGUAACUGAUUGAUGAAGUGAGCUAAAGUGAACUUCAAAGAUUGUGUCUCUUGAUUUCAAUUCAUUCCACUGCUGCCUUCUAUUUCUUAGAGCCUGAAGAUAUCCAUUCUGAGCAUUGAUCCAUGGAACAGCAAAUCUGCAGUUUAAGAGGGAGAUGAAGACUAGAAACACAGCUCUUCCCACAUUUUAUUAAAAUGUAUUCAAUCACUCCUGUGUGGGGGCCACCUUGUGGUGGGCCCAGAGAACACGGGAGAAGAAAAAGAAAAGUUUGACCUCGGAGAGUUCAGGUCUACCAGCACAGAUGUCUCCUGGACAGCGUAAAUUCUAUAAAGAUUUCCUGAGGAAAUCUGGCCCUGUUAACCUUCCGAUCGCAAAGGCAUCUGAUCCUGAUACAAUCGGUGGCCAUUUCUGCCUGCAGAAUACUUCAUCACUUAUUUCAUAAGUAUUGGUCUGUGUAUAGGGACGGUUUAUAAGGAAAGAGAUGUUGGGUAUAGCUAGGCUAACUGUAGAUGCUAAUUUGCCUAAAACAGCCCCAGUUUGCAACUGCUGUCCGGCUUUCAGAGCUGUCCAGCUCUCCCAGCUGUCUAGCUUACCAAUCCUUUCUUGCGUGGUAAUGUAGAUACUCUCUCCUUUGUGUCAUUGGCUGCCAUCUUUCUACAUAUAUAGUUUCA